rnacentral:rRNA from 1 species
UGAGUAAUACGUAUCCAACCUGCCGUCUACUCUUGGACAGCCUUCUGAAAGGAAGAUUAAUACAAGAUGGCAUCAUGAGUCCGCAUGUUCACAUGAUUAAAGGUAUUCCGGUAGACGAUGGGGAUGCGUUCCAUUAGAUAGUAGGCGGGGUAACGGCCCACCUAGUCUUCGAUGGAUAGGGGUUCUGAGAGGAAGGUCCCCCACAUUGGAACUGAGACACGGUCCAA